CGAACGCUGGCGGCGUGCCUAAUACAUGCACGUCGAGCGAAGUUUUUCUGGUGCUUGCACUAGAAAAACUUAGCGGCGAACGGGUGAGUAACACGUAAAGAACCUGCCUCAUAGACUGGGACAACUAUUGGAAACGAUAGCUAAUACCGGAUAACAGCAUUAACUGCAUGGUUGAUGUUUAAAAGUUGGUUUUGCUAACACUAUGAGAUGGCUUUGCGGUGCAUUAGCUAGUUGGUGGGGUAAAGGCCUACCAAGGCGACGAUGCAUAGCCGACCUGAGAGGGUGAUCGGCCACACUGGGACUGAGACACGGCCCAGACUCCUACGGGAGGCAGCAGUAGGGAAUCUUCCGCAAUGGGCGAAAGUCUGACGGAGCAACGCCGCGUGAGUGAAGAAGGAUUUCGGUUCGUAAAGCUCUGUUGUUAGGGAAGAAUGAUUGUGUAGUAACUAUACACAGUAGAGACGGUACCUAACCAGAAAGCCACGGCUAACUACGUG
rnacentral:rRNA from 1 species